CGGUUGAUCCUGCCGAAGGCUACUGCUAUUGGAGUUCGAUUAAGCCAUGCGAGUCGAGAGUCUUAGGGACUCGGCGCACCGCUCAGUAACACGUGGGUAACCUGCCCUAUGCUGGGGGAUAACCUCGGGAAACUGAGAAUAAUACCCCAUAGUUCACCACGCCUGGAACGGUGGGUGGACCAAAGCUCCGGCGGCAUAGGAUGGGCUGCGGCGUAUCAGGUUGUAGGGGGUGUAAUGUACCCUCUAGCCCUCUACGCGUACGGGUGUUGAGAGACAUCGCCCGGAGAUGGAUUCUGAGACACGAAUCCAGACCCCACGGGGUGCAGCAGGCGCGAAAACUUGGCAAUGCGAGAAAUCGUGACCAGGGAACUCCAAGUGCAUCGGGUAAGACCGAUGCUUUUCUUGACUCUUCAAAGGUCUUGGAAUAAGGGGUGGGUAAGGACGGUGCCAGCCGCCGCGGUAAUACCGGCGCCCCAAGUGGUAGUCGCUUUUAUUGGGCCUAAAACGUCCGUAGCCGGUCUGGUACAUUCGUGGGUAAAUCAACCAGCUCAACUGGUUGAAUUCUGCGAGCACGGCCAGACUUGGGACCGGGAGAGGUGUGGGGUACUCUCAGGGUAGGGGUAAAAUCCUGUCAUCCUGAGAGGACCACCUGUUGCGAAGGCGCCACACUAGAACGGAUCCGACGGUCAGGGACGAAGCCUAGGGGCACGAACCGGAUUAGAUACCCGGGUAGUCCUAGGUGUAAACGCUGUGGACUUGAUGUUGGGGGCGCUCCGAGCGCACUCAGUGUCGAAGCGAAGGUGAUAAGUCCACUGCCUGGGGAGUACGGUCGCAAGGCUGAAACUUAAAGGAAUUGGCGGGGGAGCACCGCAACCUGAGGAUUGUGCGGUUUAAUUGGAGUCAACGCCGG
rnacentral:rRNA from 1 species